rnacentral:rRNA from 1 species
UACGUAGGGGGCGAGCGUUGUCCGGAUUUACUGGGCGUAAAGCGCGUGUAGGCGGCCGUUUAAGUCGGGUGUGAAAGCCCGGGGCUCAACCCCGGGAUGCCGCCCGAGACUGGACGGCUUGAGGUCGGAAGAGGGGAGUGGAAUUCCAGGUGUAGCGGUGAAAUGCGUAGAGAUGUGGAGGAACACCGAUGGCGAAGGCAGCCUCCUGGGCCAAUACUGACGCUCAUGCACGAAAGCGUGGGGAGCAAACAGG